AGGGUUCACACAAUGAAGCAAUGAGAAGCUCUCUCCACAGCAGGUGCUGUUUAAAGCAAGGGUUAAUCUACUCUUCUGGCCUCAGAUGAACCCAGUUUCAGAGCACCCUCAUGCCCCAGCUGUUCUUGUCCACCCUAGUAAACAUUACCCUGCUUCGGAUCUGCCAGCAUAGCCAUAGGUUGGAGGUGCUCCCUAACCCAAUUCUGUCACAGUAAUCUGGGUCAGCCUCAACACUUCACGCAGUACAUUUAUUUUUGUAACUCAUCACUUCAACAGUUGGGUUAAAGAACCCCUUCAUGUGCAAUUAUGCUGACAAAACUGAGAGGUAGUAAGUGCCGGAGGGGAGCUAAGCAGAGUACCAUAGAUGUGCUGGUAGCCAGGCAGCAGGCUGACCAUUCCAUGGAGCACACAGUGAACAAACGUGGGAACAGACCCAAGCACAUUUUAUUGUCAUCUUCUAGCAACAGGCACAUCCUGGUGGUCCUGAAGGCCUGCAGGUGUUCGUGGUGCAAAAACUGGACACAGGAUGCUGAAUCCCAGAUGUGUGAGGUUUUGCAGAAACCACCACCUGUGCCCAGCCACAUAAAUCCACACAGUUACAGAGAUGAAGGAAGCUGCAUGGUGAACGUCUGCAAUGGGAGGUGCUGCUUCAGAGGAAGAAUUUGCUCACGCAGAGGAAAGCUUCAUGUGAAUUAACUCACAUGCGAAUGGAAAGUGGAUUAGCAAUGCCACAUAAAUGGAUGGAUCCCUUGGAUUCUUCUCUUCAGAAUUAAACCGGUCCUAAUUUGUUUCAGUGUAAUUAUGAAAGAGGAUGUUAUACAGGCUUUAAUGAGAUCUAAUGUUCUCACCACAAAAGUUAGCCUGGGUUUAUUUCUUGUGUCUCCCAGCAGGGGUGGGAUUGGAAUGUAGCGCUGAAUUUUUUUAGUAGGGUACUUGUAUUGUCUUUUCUGCGGGUUUUAAUUACAGAUUCUGAUAAUGAUAUAAUCUGGUUCUAUUGUGAUUAUACUAUUUUUAAUCACAGGAUAUAAAAGCUCUGAAUAAGCAAUUAAUUAAUCUUCACCAUGUCCCUGCAAGGUUGGUAAAAGCUUUGUAAUAGUCAGUGUGUGGGUCUUCCAGUGGAAUACAGCGAGGCAAAGCAGUGCAAUGAGACAUGGGAGGGAAGAUGAGUAUCAAACCUUACUGAAUACAUGGGUGGAGUUAAGCAAGAAAAAGAUGUUACUGACCAGUUUAGAACGUGUUUGCACCACCACGAUGCACUCAGAAGGACAUGUCAGGUGAGCUCCAGCAAUCUGGGCGUCCACUUUCUGCCUGACCCAACCCACCGCACUCAUCGCGGCACUGCACACAAUGCGCCAUGGUGGGAGCAGCUAAUAGCAGGGUGUGCAUGUUGUGGAUUAGAAGUAAUUUAUCUGAUUUCCUUUUAUUUUGAAAUGGGAUUUACCCAUUUAAAUUAGAUUUUGUUUAAGGGAAAAAAAAAGGGAAGAGGAAGAAAAAACGCUGAGCUCUCGACUGCUGUUUGCAGGCUGACUGCGUGUUGACAGAUUGCUCUGCUGGUGUUGCAGUCCCUUCUCUGUCGGUGCAGCUUCUUUCUUUUCCUCCAUGGACAGUUUAUUUUCUGCUCAAUGCUAAGCCUCAUGUUUGUCUUACUUCUUUAAAUGAGAGCAAGCACUGCGCUUUUGUUCUGCUCCUUUUCCAG
rnacentral:lncRNA from 1 species